ACACUUCCCUGGCAGAAACGAUGCCACGAUCAGGAAGAUGGUUCUCCCAGGGUAGUGCUUGUCCAUUGCAGCCUGGAUAUGUUGGCGCCUGUGAUCUCCCCAAGUGUAGGGAACACAGAGUAUAGUGGUAGUGAGGGACUAUGUUUGUGUCUGCCCUUU